UGCUGCUAUAAACAUGCCUGUGCAAGUAUU
rnacentral:piRNA from 1 species